AAUUCAUAUGUAAAUAAAGCAAAAUUUAAAAUAUGCAAAAAGUUAGCUCAGAUAAGUUCCGUAGAAUUUGCAGCAUGUAAGAAUAGCUUAAAGCAAUGUGGUAAUAAUGCUGGGUCAGAGAAUUCUUAUAUGAUUCUAAUGUUUUACAGCCAAAUCAGAGCUGGUUUUGUAUCUCCAUGCCAACUAUUUCCAAUGUGCUCUUGAAAAUUUUAGGAAAGCUUGACAGCACUUUAUGAUAACUAUUUAAUAUUUGCCUUGAUAAUCAUGAAGGUAAUAAAACAAGAAUUCAUUGGUUUGAAUUUUGGACCAGUUUCAAGGGUAAUUCUGUCAGGAUGGAUAAGGAACUAACUUCCAUAUUCUUAAAUACAGUCACAGAAAUUUACAAAUGUAGGGUAUGAGGAUUAUUGAAAUUUGCCCAUCUACCUCUCCACCAUGAUGAUAUAGAAAUAUAGUUCACAAAAUUUCCAAAAUUAGAAAACCUUUGAGAAUAAUUUGAUUUUGCUCCAAAGGCUGAAGAAUCCAUGAGUUUACACUUUUUUAGGCAGAGUUCUGGCAGAAGCAAUGACCAGAGAGAAAUCCCGAGGCUGAUGGCUUUGCUGAGGUUUGGUCACCAUACAUGAAUGGCACUUCACUCUUCUUAUACCCUGAGUAGUUAACUGGGUGUCACAUUCCCUAAACAAUUUAAUAUUGCUUUGUUGAUAAUUUUUUGAACAACAUUUUAAAAUUUUUAAUUGUUUUUAUUGGUUUGUGAGAGACUACAAAAGAAGCAGAGAUUUCCAAAUGCCCAGAAGAGCUAUGACUGGACCACAUCAAAGCCAGGAGCUCUGAACUCAGUUCAGGUCCAGCCCUGGUGGCAGGGAGUCAACAAUUUGGGACACCAUCUACUUCCUUCCAUGGUGCUUAUUAGCAGGAAACUGGAAUUGAAAUCUGAGCUGGUACUGGAAUCCAGGUACUCUGUUAUGGAAUGUGUUCAUUCCAAACAGCAUUUAACUGUGGUGCUGCACACCUGCCCUGCACUCACUCUGUGCAGGUGUCACAAAAUGGAAUAUGAUUCUGUGAACCUUAAGUUUGGUUGGUCUUGGGAAUGUGCUUAUUUUCACUGGUUGCUACACAGAUUGAUAUCUUCAGUCACUACACACAAGAGAAGCAGGUAAAUAAAAAUGGCCAGAAAGAAAAUAAACAAUUGUAACAAAGUUACA
rnacentral:lncRNA from 1 species